CUUUAUUUGAAAAGGUGAGCGCUGUCACACACUGUCUCACGCUGAAUCUCCCUGAGAACUUUGCUAAGGGUAGGUGUGACUGGUGUGUUCAGCCGUUUUCACGUUAAUUACACGAGCAGGCGGUUCUGUUGAUCGGAUGAACUGGAACCCACAUCAUCGUAACCGGCGGAGUAUCAACAACAACAACAAAA